ACACGUAGGAAUCUGCCUUCAAGAGGGGGACAACCCGAGGAAACUCGGGCUAAUACCGCAUAAUAUCGAGAGAUCAAAGUUGGGUAGCAAUACCUGGCACUUGAAGAGGAGCCUGCGUCCGAUUAGCUAGUUGGUAGGGUAAAAGCCUACCAAGGCAAUGAUCGGUAGCUGGUCUGAGAGGAUGAUCAGCCACACUGGGACUGAGACACGGCCCAGACUCCUACGGGAGGCAGCAGUGGGGAAUAUUGGACAAUGGGGGCAACCCUGAUCCAGCAAUGCCGCGUGUGUGAAGAAGGCCUUCGGGUUGUAAAGCACUUUAAGCUGUGAGGAAGGUAUGUAGUUUAAGAGAUAGCAUACUUGACUGUAGCAGAAGAAUAAGCACCGGCUAACUCUGUGCCAGCAGCCGCGGUAAUACAGAGGGUGCAAGCGUUAAUCGGAAUUACUGGGCGUAAAGGGCGCGUAGGCGGUUAAUUAAGUGAGAUGUGAAAUCCCUGGGCUUAACCUAGGAACUGCAUCUUAUACUGGUUGACUAGAGUACUGUAGAGGGUAGUGGAAUUUCCGGUGUAGCGGUGAAAUGCGUAGAGAUCGGAAGGAACACCAGUGGCGAAGGCGGCUACCUGGACAGAUACUGACGCUGAGGCGCGAGAGCGUGGGGAGCAAACAGGAUUAGAUACCCUGGUAGUCCACGCUGUAAACGAUGAGGACUAGAUGUUGGUAGGCGAGACCUAUUAGUAUCGAAGCUAACGCGAUAAGUCCUCCGCCUGGAAGUACAGUCGCAAGACUGAAACUCAAAAGAAUUGACGGGGGCCCGCACAAGCGGUGGAGCAUGUGGUUUAAUUCGAUGCAACGCGAAGAACCUUACCUACCCUUGACAUCCUGCGAAUCCCGAUGAGAGUUGGGAGUGCCGCAAGGAACGCAGAGACAGGUGCUGCAUGGCUGUCGUCAGCUCGUGUUGUGAGAUGUUGGGUUAAGUCCCGUAACGAGCGCAACCCUUGUCCUUAGUUGCCAUCAUUUAGUUGGGGACUCUAAGGAGACCGCCAGUGAUGAACUGGAGGAAGGCGGGGACGACGUCAAGUCAUCACGGCCUUUAUGGGUAGGGCCACACACGUGCUACAAUGGGG
rnacentral:rRNA from 1 species